UGGGGAAUUUUGCACAAUGGGGGCAACCCUGUUGCAGCGACGCCGCGUGAUUUAGAAGGCCUUCGGGUCGUAAAAAUCUUUUGUAUGGGAAGAAAAUGACAGUACCAUACGAAUAAGGACCGGCUAAUUACGUGCCAGCAGCCGCGGUAAUACGUAAGGUCCGAGCGUUGUCCGGAAUCAUUGGGCGUAAAGGGUACGUAGGCGGAUAAGCAAGUUAGAAGUGAAAUCCUAUAGCUCAACUAUAGUAAGCUUUUAAAACUGCUCAUCUUGAGGUAUGGAAGGGAAAGUGGAAUUCCAAGUGUAGCGGUGAGAUGCGCAGAUAUUAGUAGGAAUACCGGUGGCGAAGGCGACUUUCUGGCCAUAAACUGACGCUGAGGUACGAAAGCGUGGGUAGCAAACAGG
rnacentral:rRNA from 1 species